rnacentral:ncRNA from 1 species
UGCGAUGAGUCGAGAGAAGAUCAGGUGAUAGAAAUAUCAUUUUGCUGUUAGCAACUAGUGAUCUGCAUUUCGAAGCAGAACACAAUGUCACCGGAAUGUGACGUGUUUGAUAAAGAAUAAUGUGAAUAUU